AGAAAUUCUAGAGAGACACAAAGAAGAAAAAUUUCAAUUGAAUGUGUGUGGUUCAAUUUCUCUGCUAUUCAUCUUGCAGCAGGUUGGAUAUUCCAAAGAAUGGUACAACAAUAUCAUCCAUCCUACAUGCUCUUCUACAGUGUGACUCUGCUACCCUCUCUGAAGAACUGGGGUCCAUGUCCCCUCUCUUCAAAUCUUAUGAGAUUACAAAAAAAUAGGAAGAAAAAGAAGGCAGCAUAGCUUCCUCCACUAGAGCCCUGGACUGACUAUCCUAUGGCCGCCAUCUUGUUAAGAAGCACAGUGGCAUGAGAGAUCACACUGAAGAGCUGAGUGAAGAAAUCACCAUAAUCCCUCAUAGCCAUCAAGCCACCCAAAUUUCUAAGCUUCGCAGCAGUGGCCAUCAAUACUUCAUGGAACAGAGAUAAGCCCUCCUACUGUGCUCUGACUUAAUUCCAGACCAGCAGCAUCCAUGAGCUUAAUACAAUGAUUGUUUCAUGCCAUCAUUUUAGCAAUGGUUUGUUACCCAGCAAAGAUGACCAUAAUUCCUUCCUUAAUUCAUAAAAGGCAGCCAUCCCUAAGAUGAGAGAUGAAACCGGUGUUGAGAAUAAAUCAGGAUCAGGUGUUGAGAAUAGAUCAAGAUAGAGUCCUCCUUCCCCUGGUGUUGAAGAUUGAACACCCGAGAGAAACUCCAAGGCAAAAAUAUUCACUUAAAGGAUAGAACAGAGAGAGGAAAAAAGAGAGAAAACUCCACAGAGGAGGGGGUCCAAAGCUGGUGCCCGAGGUAGUGGGGGUGUCCUGCCCCUUUUGUCUUCUCAUGCCCCCUUCUCUCACCUGCCUGCGUGACCCAAAAGGUGAAGUGAUCCAAGGAUGGGAAAGGAGUCCAGAGGUGCUGGCAGGAAGGGAGCCUCCCAGGGGAUAUUUAUUAACCACUCCUUGCAGGGAGAAACAAUUCCCUGGAGGUAGGUAACCUUGGCAACAGGUUGGAGGAGGGAGAAGUGCUCUGGAGGUAGUAGCAUUUUAUUUCCUGUUGGGAGCCUGCACUGAAUUGUGGGUUUUGAAACUGUCCUGUGACAAAGGCAAUGCCCCUCUGGGAAUACUCUUGGUGUGAGGGUGCUGAUUGAGAUGGCCCAGUUGCAUGGUGGCACCCUGUUCAAAAGGAGAUUCUGUGCUAGAUACAGAGCAAUUCAGUUCUUGACUUAGACCUCAGAUGCCAGCUCCCAGGGAUAGAAAGAUUCUGAGCAUAGCAAGAUAACUACGAUAUUUCACCAAUGCUGUACUGUUCAAGCCUGCCCACUUAAUAGAAACUUUGGACAAUAGGCUUCCUGGGCAUUGUCCAGGAAGCUCCUAGCAUUGCAAUAGUAAAUAACUACAAGAAUGUUCCUGGCUCUCUAACUUUCUAUUGCAGGAAGAACAAUGCCUGUAUAGUCUUUAACUUCCUGA
rnacentral:lncRNA from 1 species